ACAGAGCCAAUACAGGAAUGCGGGAGGAAACCGGAGCACCCGGAGGAAAACCGUGUGUUCACGGGGAGAACGUACAAACUCCUCACAGAGAGCGUCGAAAGGCCGUAAAGAAAACUUCUGGCCCAUCAACCUUCAUGAGUCAAGGUAUUGAGUGCGGGAGACGAGAAGUUCUGCUGAAAAUGUACGAGACGUUGAUGUGGAUUUACGAAUCCCCUACAUAACGGACAUAACUUUCCUACUAUGGACCAGACAAUAUUCAGGUUGUUCAUCUUCGAAUCUGAAUGAACACACUACAGCUGUCAUUAUCUUCAUCAAGACCUGCGUGGACGAGCGUGUGCCUUGGAGGACAUACCCAAACCCGAAGCCGUGGAUGAACCAGGAGAUUCACAAUCCACUGAGGGCUAGAUCCGUGGCACUCAAGACCGGUGACCCAGAACUAAUCAAGAAGUCCAGCAUUGAAACAAAUGGCAUCAAAAGCAUAUAAGACUGUCGGGGGUAAGAAAACAAUUCCGAAAGGCGGAGGGAGAGAAGAAACCAGUUCUUUCAUUCACUGGAAUGAAUCCUCACAAAAGCCUCCUUGAUCCAUGGGAGAGAUGUCAAAGGAGGCAAUUUCUGCCACGGAGCGCCUGCAACUCAACCGUAUGAAAGAGGUGGCUGGGGUCCUAUCAGAGUCCGUGAUCUAUGCUGUACUCAAACCCUGUUUUCAUGGGCGGUGGGUUCUCAAUCGUCGGGAGCUGCCGGGCGGUCUGAGCAUUGGUAUCUCUAGGAAUGGCCUGGAAGAAGUUUGCCCUCGAGGUGUGGCCCAGUGCUUGACAAUUCCUCACCGAUGUUGCCGACUGAAGCAUCUCAGGAGAUUGAAACAUCAAGACAGCAGAUGCGGCUGUCGGAAACCUCUGUGGUCUAGAGAUCUGUCUGUCUGUCUCUCUCUCUCUCUCUCUGGAGAGGGUUUGCGGAUUCUCAAGUUGGCAGAGCUCGAAACAAGUGACACAGUGCACUGUCAGAUCAAAGCAGAGUGCUGUUGGCCUCCCACUCACUGGGCCAGGAGUGAUAUCUGUCUCCCUCCUUAGUGAGAGAGGGGGCUUGUUAAAAUGUAGAGGUGUCGGGAGGAACAGUAGUUUUUGAUGGACUAUAGAUGAUGGUCUUUGGAGGGGCUUGCU